rnacentral:rRNA from 1 species
AACGAACGCUGGCGGCGUGCCUAACACAUGCAAAUCGAGCGAGAAAACCCGCAAGGGUGAGUACAGCGGCGCACGGGUGCGUAACACGUGGGUAAUCUGCCCUGAAGCCCGGAAGAACCUCCCGAAAGGGAUGCUAAUACCGGAUAAGACCACGGGAACCUCGGUUCCUGCGGGAAAAGGUGGCCUCUGCAUGCAAGCUAUCAUUUCAGGAUGAGCCCGGGGCCCAUCAGCCCGUUGGCGGGGUAACGGCCCACCAAGGCUACGACGGGUAGCUGGUCUGAGAGGACGAUCAGCCACACUGGAACUGAGACACGGUCCAGACUCCUACGGGAGGCAGCAGUGGGGAAUCUUGCGCAAUGGGCGAAAGCCUGACGCAGCAACGCCGCGUGUGUGAUGAAGGUCUUCGGAUCGUAAAGCACUGUCGGGAGGGACGAAUAAGGGCCAGGUGAACAAUCUGGUCCGAUGACGGUACCUCCAAAGGAAGCACCGGCUAACUCUGUGCCAGCAGCCGCAGUAAUAC